rnacentral:rRNA from 1 species
AUUGAACGCUGCGGCAGGCUUAACACAUGCAAGUCGAGCGAGCGGCGGACGGGUGAGUAAUGCUUAGGAAUCUGCCUAUUAGUGUGGGACAACAUCUCGAAAGGGAUACUAAUACCUCAUACUACUCGAUUACACUAAGUCGGAUUCGCGAGUUGGUGGGGUAAAGGCCUACCAAGGCGACGAUCUGUAGCGGGUCUGAGAGGAUGAUCCGCCACACUGGGACGGAGAAACGGCCAAGACUCUUACGGGAGGAAGCAUGGGGGAAUAUUGGACAAUGGGGGGAACCCUGAUCCAGCAAUGCCGCGUGUGGGAAGAAGGCCUUAGGGUUGUAAAGCACUUUAAGCGAGGAGGCGUUACCGAAAGAAGAAGCAACGGCUAACUCCGUGCCAGCAGCCGCGGUAAUAC